rnacentral:rRNA from 1 species
GACGGACGCUGGCGGCGUGCUUAACACAUGCAAGUCGAACGGAAAGGCCCUGCUUGCAGGGUACUCGAGUGGCGAACGGGUGAGUAACACGUGGGUGAUCUGCCCUGCACUUCGGGAUAAGCCUGGGAAACUGGGUCUAAUACCGGAUAGGAGCCAUUUUUAGUGUGAUGGUUGGAAAGUUUUUUCGGUGUAGGAUGAGCUCGCGGCCUAUCAGCUUGUUGGUGGGGUAAUGGCCUACCAAGGCGGCGACGGGUAGCCGGCCUGAGAGGGUGGACGGCCACAUUGGGACUGAGAUACGGCCCAGACUCCUACGGGAGGCAGCAGUGGGGAAUAUUGCACAAUGGGCGCAAGCCUGAUGCAGCGACGCCGCGUGGGGGAUGACGGCCUUCGGGUUGUAAACUCCUUUCGCUAGGGACGAAGCUUUUUGUGACGGUACCUAGAUAAGAAGCACCGGCUAACUACGUG